AGAAUAUUUGAAACUCUAAGUAAAUGAGGUGAUGAACAGGCAGACGAGGCUCAAAAGGCUGCGAGAAACAAGAAGAAGGACUAAACAGCAGCCAGUGAAUGUUAUAAAGAAGAAAGUACGACAGUAGCCAUUGAAUGUUAUAAAGGAGAAAGGACGAGUAAGUAGAAGUGAUAGUCGUUAUAGUUUCGUAUUUCAAUACAAAUAUAAGAAUGUCGAUAGAUGUUGGUCAAAUCGUUCAUUCAGAAGAAAAGUGUAACAACUCAAAAUUUUUUUAAAUGGGUUUUAUUGGUUUAAUAGUCUUGAAAUAAGUUAUUCUUUUCACUGCAAAAACGUCACAACUCAAACUCUGCUUGCUCCCACUAGAGUGCACUAGUGUCACUUUUCUUCUAGAACAUUCUAGGUUAUGUUUUUCUAGCAAAACUGACACAUUUCAGUUGUGACUUGACUGUCUAGGAGUGAAGUGCUAUAAUUUCUCUGCAAAAGUGACACUUUUUGAGUUGUGCCUGUUUGGUUGUAAUAUUUUGUAAGUACAUGUUUAUAUUGUUUACUAGAAUAAUGACAGAUUUUGAGUUGUGUCACUUUUCCUUGAAUAUAGCUUUGACUUUCAAUUUUGUUUGUCAUCCACAAGUCCAAAUUUUGAGAUGUGUCACUUUUCCUUGAAAAUCAUUGUACUUUUUUCAUUUUGUUAUACCUCCACAGUGGCAGACUUUGAGAUGUGUCAUUACAACUCUGAACUUUUGCAAGAAACUAAAUCACAAUGUUAUACCAACAGUGCAAUAUUUUGAGUUGUGACACUUGUAUUGCGAAAAUAGUUCAUAAUUUAUUAUAAAUAUUCCACUGUUAGUACUAUUACGAUUUAUUUUCUUGUUAAACUAUCAGUAAACAAUAUACAUUUUAUUCAUAAAUGAAUGCCACAUACAGACAAAAUGCCUUGCCUGUGUGUGCCAUUCAUUUAUGAACUUUUUUAGGUUACACAUUUUUUCUAGUGAAGGCAUCACAACAGCCAGUUUAAGUCUCAGGAAUGAGCAAUAGAACAUCCCUGAUUUUAAAAUUAGCCAAACAAAAAGGCAAUUCUACAGACUAUAGGCCUACUCCUCAUUCACAUAAUAGUGUUGUAUGUGGUAAUGAGUGGACAGUGAUUAAUGAAGAGGAAAUUCCAAAUACAACCCCAAAUAAUGAGGUUCAAGCCAUAUUUCAAACUACAAAUGAACUUUUAACUGAACACAUUGAAACCCAGCCAAUCUCAACGAUCCUACAAACCCGGGAAGCUGAACCUGAAGACAAAACUCAGGGUUAUGUUGAUGUCAUUCCUAAAGAAUGUACUUCUAAAGAAGUUCACAGUGAAGAAAAUCAUAAACCUUCGACAUCAAAACAGUGUGUUAGUGAAUUUUCACAAAAUACCAACAAAAGCAGGGAAUGUGUGCCUAAAAAACUUAAUUUGCCAACGACAUCAGCUCAGUCUAACCAAGAAAAUGUUCGACCCAAACGAAAGUGUAAAACCGAUAACGAAGCUACUGGAGAUCUUUUUUCAGAUGACCCUAACAGUGAAAAUGAUUAUGACGUGGAUGAUUCUGACGAGGAUCCAAAUUACGAGCCAAAAAAUGACCUUAAUUUCCCUAAAAAACAAACAAUAUCCAACAAAAUAUUUAACAUACCUAGAAGAAACAAAGUUGUUGUAAAUACUAAAGAAAAGGAGCCUGAGAUCUUUGAAGAAAAUGAUAAUGUUUUUGAAUUCUUGGAACAAAAUAACACUGAUCUCCAAAAGAAAAAAGGAAAGAAAAGGUCACUAAACAAAGACAACUGGUUGAAAUGUAAAGCAAAAAAGCUGAGAAAUUCUGGAGAGGAAUAUAAAUCAUCAUCUAAGUCCAGAAAACUAAUUGAGAAAAAGGAAAUAAAACCACCAUGCAAUGAUAGAUGUAGAAUCCAGUGUAAAACCAAAAUAAACCCUGAUGAACGUCAAACAAUUUUCAAAAACUAUUGGGCACUUGGUGACCUUUCCCGCCAAAGAGAUUUCAUAGCAUCACAUAUUCAGAACAUACAACCAACUUACCAGUACAAGAGAGAGGGAAAUAAGAGAAAACCAAACCAAGCCUUUUAUUUUGAUGUUGCUGAUAAGCGAGUUCGUGUAUGCAAAGAUUUUUUCAGAAACACCCUAGGGAUCAAUGACAGACCAAUUAGAACCGUUAUUGAUAAGAAAGACGCCUCAAGUGGCUUUGUUGCUGGUGAUCUGAGGGGUAAACAUGAUAAGCAUCAAACUGAUCAAGACAAGUUAAUAAAUGAAGGCAUCAGGCGUCAUAUAGAAUCUAUUCCUAAAAUUGAGAGCCACUAUCUACGGGCAAACAACCAGAGAAUUCAUAGAAGGUGGUAAAACAAUUAGUGAUUUACAUCGUGAUUAUGUUGAACAUUGUAAAAGCUUGCAAAAACCUCAUGGAAAUUAUAAAAAGUAUUACGAUAUAUUCACCAAAGAGUAUAAUAUUUCUUUUUUUGUUCCAAAAAAAGACCUUUGUGAGCUGUGCCAUGCAUAUGAGACAGCUGAAGGUGAGAGAAAGACCAGUUUGCAAGAGGAAUAUGAAAAGCAUAUUAUGGAAAAAGAUCUAUCUCGAUUGAAAAAAAAUUCUGACAAAGACUCAGUGAGUGUCAACACCAUUGUUGCCUGUUAUGACCUUCAAGCUGUAUUACAGUGUCCAAAGGGGGAAGUGUCCCUAAUGUAUUAUAAAUCUAAAUUAAAUAUGCUAAACCUGACUGUCUGUGAGCUGAAAAAUGAUGCCGUAUUCUGCUAUACUUGGCAUGAAGGCGAAGGAGCCAGAGGCUCGUGCGAAAUUGGAACAUGCAUUUACAAAUACCUCAGUGAAAAAGUUAAAAAUUGCGAAAACGAUAUUGAAAUUAUAUUUUACUCUGAUAAUUGCAGCGGCCAACAGAAAAACAAGUAUUUGUUUUCUAUGUACUUAUAUGCAGUGGACAAACUGCCAAUUAAGUCUAUAACUCACAAUUUCCUAAUAAAAGGGCAUAGUCAAAACGAGGGGGACAAUGUACAUGCAAUGAUUGAGAAGCAGAUUAAGAAAUGUCUGAAGUCUGGACCAAUUUACCACCCGGCUCAAUACAUUUCAUUGAUCAAAACUGCAAAAAAAACUGGGAAUCCGUAUAAAGUCAAUGAACUAAGUCAUGAAGAUUUCUUGGAUUUUAAAGACCUAUGGGCAAACAUUGGAUGUAACUCUACAGUUAAUGUGUCAGGAUGUACUGUUGCAAUGAAUGACAUCAAAAUAAUUAAAGUUGAGAAAGAUUCUCCCUUUAAAAUCAAGUACAAGACAACUUAUGAUGACACAGUUGACUUUCAAGAAAUUUUCAUCCAGCAGAUUGAUAUUGAAGAAAACGAGGAUUUAUUCGGAGACAACAAGAAGAGUCACACUAAGAAGAAAACCAGAAGUUCAAAGAAGAAACAACAGGUUUUUCCUGUGCAUUGUUCAGAUGUUGCUUUAAAAAAAUUAUACGAGCAAAGACUGGGAAUUUCAGUUAACAAGAAAAAAGACUUACAAUACUUACUUGAAAAACAUGUUAUUCCAAGUUGCUAUGCACCAUUUUAUAACUCACUUUAAAUUUUUGCAGUAACGUUUGUGUUUAGCAACAAUGUUAUGUUUGUGUUAAUGAUUUUUAUUUCCAUUAGAAAAUACUUCUUUAAAUAUUAAAAAGUGCUGCAUUAGUUACUUUAUAUAAGACCAAACUAUUGGUAGUAACUAGUGGUAGUAAAUGAAUGUAUUUUGUUAUUAAUAUUUGAAAACACUAUUUUUCUAAACAUCUAAAAUAGGUCCAAUGAUGUUUGGAGGUUUAGUUCUAAGUAACUAACUGAUUUUUUUGUUUCAAUUAAAGUUAACUGUCAUUAAAAACCCGUUGACUUAUUUUUGUGUCAUUACCAUCUUCAAAGUUAACCUUUUAAUGAAAAGCGGUUUUACAGGAAAAUUGACACAACUCAAAUUAAAUUAAUAAAUAAUUAAAAAAAUAAUAAACACAAACUUCAUGGUUUAUAUUAAGCUAAUUUAAAUGCCCUAUAUUUAACUGAUAUAAAUAAUAAAAUGACUUUUGGAUUAAAGGUUGCAGUUCUGUUAAACGAAAAACUAAUUACAAAAAGCACAAUUUUCAAAUCGCUCUCCUGUAAAAUUUACUUUUUUUGAGUUGUGUCACUUUUCUUCUGAAUGAACGA